UGUGAACACUAGGGGUGCUUGCACAAAGCUGAGAGAGACAUGCUGUCUCAACCCUCUCACCUGAUCUAGGUAAUGCUAGCGAAGGGAAGUGAUGCGUGCCGGUA
rnacentral:ncRNA from 2 species